UAACAUUUCUUUCCAUUCGUGUGCAUCAUUUAAUGUUCAUCUUGUCAUCAUAAUUUCUGUUUAUUUUACAAAUAAAUACGAAAACCUCGACUCUGAAUACAAGUGUUAAUUUAUUCAGCUCCGCUGAUUUUCAUUAUUAUUAUUAUUACAUUUUUCUUUUUUUAUUAUUGUGCGUCGUGCCGUGAUACACCGGUCCACGACAAGAUCUCUAGUUUUAUUUAAUCUCCUGAAUUUUUUUUUAUUAUUUUAGAGAAGAAAUUAACUCGAAAUAGAUAAUGACGAAGAAGUUCAUAAUGCUGUCAAAAAUGGCUUUGGGAGAUGGAGCGAAAGGUAUACGACGAGAGUAUACAAAAACUGGCUUCAGAAAAAUAACCCCAGCGUUGCUGUCAUGCCAAGACUGGUAAAAUUGGCAAAAAACCAGCUAAAACAUUGCACCGCAUGAUGAUACUACAAAGUGUGCGGAGACGUGUAGUAGGUAAAAAUAGUUUCAAAACUUACCC